CCCAUUGUCCAAUCCCUCAUCUCCUGGCAGAGAUUUUCGUGCUGUUAGAAGAAGCUGUAUUCUGAAGAAAUGGUUGGCCUGUGCACUGCCUGUCCUGUGGCUGCUCAGGUUCUGCUGGUCAGAACGAGCUCUGCCCAAGGGGAGGAGUAAAGCUCGCUACAGCAAGGUGGUGCGGCAGGGAUGGUGAUGGAUACAGAAGUCCUGUGCAUCCCGGGGCUCUUGUUAUUCAUUGUCAGAAGCCUGCCAGCAACCUCUGUUACACUGUCACAAGCCAAGGUCCUGGCGUUGUCUCCAUCCCCCUGCCUUGCCCCGAAUUUUGCUAACAUGCAUGAAUGCAGAGUCCUGAAAUUCAGGUUCAUGGUUCCAAAGUUCAUGGUCUUGAGAAUAAACAAAAAACUAUUGUGGUGGCUGAGAGCUGGGUACCCCAUUAACCCAGAAUCAUGAAUAUUUAUCAUGCUGGAUUACAAAAGAACAUAGAGACUAUAUUGUAUUUCCUAUAACUUUAUUUCCAUGGCAUCUUUUCUUGGCGGGUCACUUUAAUGUAAGC